UUUCCGUAGGUGAACCUGCGGAAGGAUCAUUAUCGUACAAAAUGUGAGGGGCAUGCGAGGGCUGUCGCUGACCCAAAAGUCGUGCACGCCCGAGUGCCCUCACACACAUCCAUCUCACCCCUAUGUGCACCACCGCGUGGGUCCCCCUUUGGCUUGUUCGGAGGGGGGCUUACGUUUUCACACAAACUUUGUAUGCAGUGUAGAAUGUAUUUUUUGUUUUUGCGAUCACGCAAUCAAUACAACUUUCAACAACGGAUCUCUUGGCUCUC
rnacentral:misc_RNA from 1 species